rnacentral:rRNA from 1 species
AGAGUUUGAUCCUGGCUCAGGACGAACGCUGGCGGCGUGCUUAACACAUGCAAGUCGAACGGAAAGGCCCUGCUUUUGUGGGGUGCUCGAGUGGCGAACGGGUGAGUAACACGUGAGUAACCUGCCCUUGACUUUGGGAUAACUUCAGGAAACUGGGGCUAAUACCGGAUAGGAGCUCCUGCUGCAUGGUGGGGGUUGGAAAGUUUCGGCGGUUGGGGAUGGACUCGCGGCUUAUCAGCUUGUUGGUGGGGUAGUGGCUUACCAAGGCUUUGACGGGUAGCCGGCCUGAGAGGGUGACCGGCCACAUUGGGACUGAGAUACGGCCCAGACUCCUACGGGAGGCAGCAGUGGGGAAUAUUGCACAAUGGGCGGAAGCCUGAUGCAGCAACGCCGCGUGCGGGAUGACGGCCUUCGGGUUGUAAACCGCUUUCGCCUGUGACGAAGCGUGAGUGACGGUAAUGGGUAAAGAAGCACCGGCUAACUACGUGCCAGCAGCCGCGGUGAUACGUAGGGUGCGAGCGUUGUCCGGAUUUAUUGGGCGUAAAGGGCUCGUAGGUGGUUGAUCGCGUCGGAAGUGUAAUCUUGGGGCUUAACCCUGAGCGUGCUUUCGAUACGGGUUGACUUGAGGAAGGUAGGGGAGAAUGGAAUUCCUGGUGGAGCGGUGGAAUGCGCAGAUAUCAGGAGGAACACCAGUGGCGAAGGCGGUUCUCUGGGCCUUUCCUGACGCUGAGGAGCGAAAGCGUGGGGAGCGAACAGGCUUAGAUACCCUGGUAGUCCACGCUGUAAACGGUGGGUACUAGGUGUGGGGUCCAUUCCACGGGUUCCGUGCCGUAGCUAACGCUUUAAGUACCCCGCCUGGGGAGUACGGCCGCAAGGCUAAAACUCAAAGGAAUUGACGGGGCCCCGCACAAGCGGCGGAGCAUGCGGAUUAAUUCGAUGCAACGCGUGGAACCUUACCUGGGUUUGACAUGGAUCGGGAGUGCUCAGAGAUGGGUGUGCCUCUUUUGGGGUCGGUUCACAGGUGGUGCAUGGCUGUCGUCAGCUCGUGUCGUGAGAUGUUGGGUUAAGUCCCGCAACGAGCRCAACCCUUGUUCACUGUUGCCAGCACGUUAUGGUGGGGACUCAGUGGAGACCGCCGGGGCCAACUCGGAGGAAGGUGGGGAUGACGUCAAGUCAUCAUGCCCCUUAUGUCCAGGGCUUCACGCAUGCUACAAUGGCUGGUACAGAGAGUGGCGAGCCUGUGAGGGUGAGCGAAUCUCGGAAAGCCGGUCUCAGUUCGGAUUGGGGUCUGCAACUCGACCUCAUGAAGUCGGAGUCGCUAGUAAUCGCAGAUCAGCAACGCUGCGGUGAAUACGUUCCCGGGGCUUGUACACACCGCCCGUCAAGUCAUGAAAGUUGGUAACACCCGAAGCCGGUGGCCUAACCGUUGUGGGGGAGCCGUCGAAGGUGGGACUGGUGAUUAGGACUAAGUCGUAACAAGGUA